GUGGGUGAUGUCAUCGCUGGGCUGAUAGUCCUGGGUUCUAUAAGAAAGCAGGCCGAGCCAGCCAGGAGGAGCACGCUAGUAAGCAGCAUCCUCCUGUGGCCACUGCAACAGCUCCUGCCUCCAGGUUGCUAGGCUGUGAGACCUCAAGAGGAGAAGGUCAAAGUCAAUCCUAUGAUGAGUCAGACUGACAAGUUCUGCUAGAGGGAGAGAAAGAUGGCUCAAGAGCAGACUCAGAUCCCUGGAGAUGAUCAGAGGGUAUGCUUGUCCAUGUCUAUGUCUGGGGUGAUAGAAGAGUCCAGUUGCUGCUGUGAACCAGAUACUGCAUAUCAGCAUCUGGGCUUUGAUCAUCUUGGAGAAAACUUGACUCUUCCUGAUGUAUUUGCGAGUAGACUUCCCAGUCUCCUCCAUCAGCCUUUAGAUGUGGAUUGUCAGGAGAGAUGUUUGAUUGCUUUUGUUCCUCUUUAAAAGAAUUUCAUUGUGGAUUGGCAUAUAAUAUUUGUAUACACUUAUGUGGUAAAAUGUGAUGGUUCUAAUUGGUACUUAAUACUGGGAAGUAUCAACACAACAUAGUUAUCCCAUUUUUCACCUUAGACUGUUAUCAUUUUCUUAUUGUCAGAACCUCAAAAAGCCCAUCUUUAGCCAUUUGUAGAUACACAAUGCAUUGUGGCUAAUUAUAUCCUCCCUACUGUGGUAGGGCUCACCAGAACCUACCGUACCUAACUAACAGUAACAUGAGCCAGCUCUGUCUCCCAAGUUCCUCUCUGCCCCAUCUCUGGUAGCCACUACACUGCUCUCAACUUCUUUGAAGUCUUACAUGUGAAUGAACUUGGGUAGUGUUUGCCUGUAUGAACAUGAAUUACUUCAAUCCACAUAAUGGCCUCUGAGUGUUUGCAUUAUAUUGCAAAUCACAAAAUGUCAUUCAAUUUAUAGCUGAAUAAUAUUCCAUAGCAUAUUCACCCAUUAUACCGGUUUCUACCUAUUUAUGAAUGGUGAACAUUUAGGAUAAUUCCAUUUCCUGCAUAUUUUUGUAUAGUAAAUAAGAGUAGAAGUUCAGACGUCUUUUGAUAUGGUGAGUUCAUUUUCUUUUAUACAUUCCCAGUGGUAGAAUUGUUGGUUCAUAUGAUAGCUUUGAUUUUAUGGGUUUGUUUGUUUAUUGGUUUGUUUAAGGAGUUUUGCUUUGAAAUAGUUGUAGAGUACUCUUCUCCAGGAGCCAAAGAACACUUAACCACAGCACCAAUACCAGACAUGAGGAGCCAUGUAUUUGAAGAAGGGAUAGGAAGGCUAUAUGGGAGGUUUUGGAGGGUGGAAAGAGAAGGGAGAAAUGUUGUAAUUAUAUUAUAAUCUAAAAAAUAAAAAAAUAAAGUUAAUAGA
rnacentral:lncRNA from 1 species